rnacentral:tmRNA from 1 species
GGGGUCGUUACGGAUUCGACAGACAUCGUUGAGCUUGGAUUGCGUUUCGAAGGUUACGUCUUCGCUAAAACGUUAACAGUUAAAUAUAACUGCUAAAAAAGAACCAAACUUUGCUCUAGCUGCCUAAAAAAACAGCUAAUGCAAGAUCUGCCUCCUAUCACCCAUGUAGAAGUUCCAGGUCUCAACUUAAGUGGGAUACGCUAACGAUUUCCGUCUGGAAUCAUUAGAAGAGACUAUCAGACUAGCAAGACAGAGAUGCUGUUGCGUGGCAUGCUGUGGCGCGAAUUUCUAAUCAUGCAACUAUGAACGUAAAUAUUUAAGUGACAAGAUGUUUGGACAGGGGUUCAACUCCCCUCGACUCCAUUA